rnacentral:rRNA from 1 species
UCAGGACGAACGCUGGCGGCGUGCCUAAUACAUGCAAGUCGAACGGUCUUUCUAUGGAAGCUUGCUUCCACUGAGAAGAUAGUGGCGAACGGGUGAGUAACACGUGGGUAACCUGCCCAUAAGAGGGGGGAUAACAUCCGGAAACGGGUGCUAAUACCGCAUAGUUUUCUUGAUCACAUGAUUGAGAAAGGAAAGACGGCCUUUGUGCUGUCGCUUAUGGAUGGACCCGCGGCGUAUUAGUUAGUUGGUGAGGUAACGGCUCACCAAGACGAUGAUACGUAGCCGACCUGAGAGGGUGAUCGGCCACAUUGGGACUGAGACACGGCCCAAACUCCUACGGGAGGCAGCAGUAGGGAAUCUUCCGCAAUGGACGAAAGUCUGACGGAGCAACGCCGCGUGAGUGAAAGAAGGUUUUCGGAUCGUAAAACUCUGUUGUCAGAGAAGAACAAGUUGGAGAGUAACUGCUCCAGCCUUGACGGUAUCUGACCAGAAAGCCACGGCUAACUACGUGCCAGCCGCCGC